UCUCUCUCUCUCCGCAAAGAGGUCUCCAAAAAGAAGAAGAAGAAGAAGAAGCAACGACUCUCAGACAGACGGAGGAAAGAAGAAGCAGCGGCGCGGCGGGAAUGAUCCGCGCGAAUCGUCGUCAAAAGCGGAAGCGAACAAUGGCUGUACUGCUUGAAGAGAGCAACCGAGCUGUAUAACGGCUAGAGGACACACGAGGAUGCAGGGAUGAUCGAAGAGGAAAUCGCGGAACUUGUUACACUCGCGCUCGACGUGGGGCUCGCGGCAGAGACAGGUCGGCUUGAAGUAUUGAAAGGCCUGCAGACUCCGCAACGCCGCCUGGCACUUGGUCACCGUCAUCGUCGAACAUGCCACUCACCGCCUCUCGGAGCGAACAAUCCGAUUUUCCGCACACACACACACGCGUCUAAUAACGAUCUCACGCCCGCGGAGGCGCACCAGUCAAAUGGAAGAUUUACGAGCUCAAGCUAUGCAGGAAAAUUUCGCGGGUGAAAAUGGAUCUUUUAUGGCACCGGCAGCGCAUGAAUCUUUCGCCGCCGCCGUUGCGCGCACGAGAUGCGAGGGAAAAAGGUAGCGCAUGUAUGUAUAACUUUAGCGUCGCGCGCGGCAGCGCUCUAUCUCAAAUUAAACAUUAACUUCCGCUCUCG